UACAGAGGGGGCAAGCGUUAUUCGGAAUUAUUGGGCGUAAAGAGCUCGUAGGUGGCUUGUUGCGUCUGCCGUGAAAGCCCGUGGCUUAACUGCGGGUCUGCGGUGGAUACGGGCAGGCUAGAGGCUGGUAGGGGCAAGCGGAAUUCCUGGUGUAGCGGUGAAAUGCGCAGAUAUCAGGAGGAACACCGGUGGCGAAGGCGGCCAGCUAGACCAGUUCUGACACUGAGGCGCGACAGCGUGGGGAGCAAACAGG
rnacentral:rRNA from 1 species